rnacentral:rRNA from 1 species
UACAGAGGUCUCAAGCGUUGUUCGGAUUCAUUGGGCGUAAAGGGUGCGUAGGCGGGCCCGUCAGUCAGGGGUGAAAUCCCACGGCCCAACCGUGGAAGUGCCUCUGAUACUGCGGGCCUGGAGGGGGAUAGGGGCGUGCGGAACUUCCGGUGGAGCGGUGAAAUGCGUAGAUAUCGGAAGGAACACCGGUGGCGAAAGCGGCGCGCUGGAUCCCUACUGACGCUGAGGCACGAAAGCCAGGGGAGCAAACGGG